CCUUGUUGAAGGAGCUGUUCUAUCUACUGUCAACAUCAUUUCCGCUUUUCGCUGAUGAAUUUCUUUCUUCUGUCGUCUUUUGACAAGAGAACACGUAUGGUGGAUGAGCUGCGGUUAGCUAACAUCCGCUAAGCAACAUGGUGAAUCACCGUAUUCCGUCAGUCUUUUCUAAGACGUAUGUUACACCACGUCGUCCAUUCGAAAAACCACGUCUCGAUGCGGAGUUGAAGAUUAUUGGUCAGUAUGGUCUGCGCAAUAAACGCGAGGUAUGGCGUGUCAAGUACACUUUGGCUAAGAUUCGUAAAGCUGCCCGUGAACUUCUCACACUAGAGGAAAAGGAUGAGAAGCGUCUCUUCCAGGGUAAUGCCCUGUUGCGUCGUCUUGUUCGUAUCGGUGUACUUGAUGAAUCCCGCAUGAAACUCGAUUAUGUUCUUGGUCUUAAAAUCGAAGAUUUCUUAGAACGUCGAUUGCAGACGCAAGUUUUCAAGCUAGGGUUGGCUAAAUCCUACCAUCACGCACGUGUCUUGAUCCGCCAGAGACAUAUUCGUGAGAUUUUGCGAUGGCUUGCUGUCGUAAAUGAUCGUGAGUACCACUUAGAUAUUGGGAAAUCGAACAAGUUUCCUGGUAACUAACGUCUCACAUGAAGUGUUUUUGACACUAGACUGGAUUGAAUUAUUACCUGAGUUUAGCGACGCUGGAUUACAGUUCUCGGAAAGAGUUCGCAAACAGGUCGUCAACAUUCCUUCGUUCAUAGUACGAUUGGAUUCUCAGAAGCAUAUCGAUUUCUCGCUUAAAUCGCCAUUCGGUGGAGGCCGACCAGGACGUGUUAAGAGGAAGAACAUGAAGAAGGGUCA